UCCCCUGAGCUUUCCCUUUCUCCUGGCCUUGCACAAUGCCAGCUUUGUCCUCUGCUCCCGUUUGUGACUUUGUCCUCCCAAGACAAGCCCAGAGAAAAAUGCCCCCUGCUGCUCUGAUCCCAAACACCCCCCAGCUCCAAACAGGCGGAAUAAUCCCAAAAAUCAUUUGGAAAAGUAGCAAAGUGCACACAGCAUCCCUCCCUGAACAGGAGAGCUGGGAGAGCCUUCCCAGCUCCCAGCCCUGCCUCGGAGCUGAUUUUCCUGGGACACGGGGACACAGCUCUGUCACCACUGCAGAUCCAAGGGCAGAAUUCCCAGCAGCUGGAACGAUUCCCUGAACGCUCCAGGGCACGCCAGAACCGCCUGGGAUUUCACUCCCGGAGGGAUUUCCCACACUUCCACACUGGGAGAAGCCUGUGGCUCAGCUGGCAGCCAGCUGCUGGGCAGGGGAGGGUGACAAGUGACAAAGAGCUGCCCAGAAGAGCCCCCAGCGCUGCUCUCCCCAGCUCUGCCAGCAGCAGGAUGAAUCCAAAGCCAUUUCCAAGCCAAGGCAAAGCGGUUUCAUUCCAAAAGGAAUGGAAAUCAUGGAUUCAGCUCUCAGCUGGCAGAGGCAGGUGAUAAAUCAGCUCUGCAGGGACAGAGGUGACACCUGGGACAGCCACAGCUCACACACCUGACCCCAGGAUAACGGCAAUGGCUGGAAAUCUCAAUGCCAAGGAAAACUCAGAAUGUCCCAAAUCCUGGAGGAGAUUCUCUCCUUCCAGAGGGUGUCCCACAUCCUGGGACCAGAUUCCCUCUUUUCAGAGAAUGUUCCACAUCCUAGGACCACAUUCCCUCCUUCCACAGAGGCAGAACAUCCCAAAUUCCCAGAUUCCCUCCUUCCAAAGGGUGUCCCAAAUCCUGGGAGGAGAUUCUCUCCCUCCAGAGGGUGUCCCACAUCCUGGGACCAAUUCCCUCCUUCCAAAGGGUGUCCCAAAUCCUGGGACCAGAUUCCCUCCUUCCAGAGAAUGUUCCACAUCCUGGGUCCAAAUUCCCUCUCAUCUCAGAUAUUUCACUUUCUGGGACCACAUUCCCUCUUUCCAAAGGGUGUCCCAAACCCUGGGACCAGAUUCCCUCUUUCCAAAGUUCCACAUCCUGGGAGCAGAUUCCCUCUCUUCUCCGAUAUUUCACUUUCUGGGACCACAUUCCCUCCUUCCACAGAGCCAGCACAUCCCAAAUUCCCAGAUUCCCUCUUUCCAAAGAGUGUCUCACUUUCUAGGAAAAGAUUCCCUCUUUUCAAAGGGUGUCCCACAUCCUGAGACCAGAUUGCCUCUCUUCUCCAAUAUUUCACUUUCUGGGACCACAUUCCCUCCUUCCAGAGGGUGUCCCAAAUCCUGGGACCAAUUCCCUCAUUCCAGAGAAUGUUCCAAAUCCUGGGACCAAUUCCCUUUUCCAAUGUCCCAGAUCCUGGGAUCAAUUCCCUCUUUCCAAUGUCCCAAAUCCUGGGACCAAUUCCCUC
rnacentral:lncRNA from 1 species